AGAUGUACAAAAAAAAAUAAAUAAAUAAAGUGGCUGGCUGGUGUAAGAGUCCACAGGCACUACGGCCCCCAGCAGCUUGAUGUCAUGAGCUCAGUUUGGCACGACUAAUUCCAUCCCAGCGAGCGAGCAAGCGCCUGUCGGGCCGUCGUCGGUAGCAGCCGUUUCGUCUUCCAGCUCUUCACGAAUUGGCACCGCAGUGGCCCAGCGGCGGCAGGACCAUUUGGCGGCCAUUUUGUGCCAUCGUCAGCAGCCGAUCCUCGUCUUUACUGCCCGUCCGGUUUCCCCGGCUCGCAGAGUGCCGGCGAGUCGAGAGCAGCGCCGCGGGUGGGCCCGCCGUGUCCUGGGGAACAGCACGGGGUGUGUCCAGUGACCCUCGCGCCACUCCUACCUCGCCCUCCUCGCCCACUGUCGUACCGUUAUGCCCACCGCGUCAUCGCAGACUCGCUCACGUACCGGACACGGAGACGGUGGAUGUUUCGCGGCGAAUAACGGUGACGCGCGGAACCUAGACUUAAGAGCUCCGCGCUUCCUGUUUCAUUAGCCGGCAGGAAACUUACUUCAUGCGUUCGCUUCUCAGAACACCCGGUCGUGGGGCACGCUGGGAAGCGGGGCCACCCACCUCUGCGGACGCAUGUGUGUUGAUUCCCUCGUCGUAAAUUAUCGAGCAGACCGCUCAUGACCACUUAACCGUGUGGAAUGUGAUCCACUUUGGGUUGGGUUGCAGUGAGUCUGGAGAUCCGUCAGUUGCGGUUUUACACUCACAUUUAGGCAUUGAUCUGAUGGUCAACGGUCUCAGCAGCUUUAAGAUCACAGUGUGUGUAUGAAAAGCAUGUCCACUGAUAGACGUAAGUAAACUGGAGAGAGCCUUAGGGCUGAACUACACUCGUGUGUAACAUAUCACUGUAUGCAAUGCAGUGUCACUAAGCACAAGUUCACCGUGUUAUCCAAGAACCAAAAUACAAAUCCAGAAUAGAUUGUGCCAUAACAAGCCCUAAAACGUGUGA